ensembl:lincRNA
GCUCCAGGACCCAGAGGAGCGUGGGGAAAGUAUCUUAAUGGAGACAGAUUUCGAACUCCUGCUGUCCCUUUUCAGAUCGUAAAUUACCGUUAAUGCUGUUUAUACUCUUCCCCCUUCCUCUCUUAAUAGUUUUAGAAACAGUAAUUGACAACAAAAUAGAGCCGCAAAGCGUGUAAGGGAGCCCUGCUUGGCUGGCUGAGAAGCAGCCAACUAAGUGUCUGUUCAUCAUGUACGUCUCUGCAACAGAAGUAAAAGAUUUACCCACACAGGUGCCCUUCCUUGCUUUCCUUUCGUCAUUUUGCUGUGAUGGAGCAGGCCUGGCCAUGCACUGAAUAUGUCCUGAGAGCUAAUGUGGUAUCGACUGGUUAAAGCUGAGAAGAGCAAUGAUGAGGAGGAGGCAUAAGCAGAGAGGAGGUUGGAAGGAAGAACAGUGGCCUGGAAGGAAGAGAGAAGCAUGCGUCCCAGCAGUCAGGACUGGAAUUCAAGUCACUACAAUAGAAGCAGAGCAAAGGAGCCCUUUAGACCUCCCAUCUCAGAGGACCUGGUUGAUUUCUCAAAUCUCUUCACUUCCAUGGGUUAUAACAAUGACGAGGAAAUGGAGGCUGAGCAACUUGCACAAGGUCACACAGCAAGUAAAUCAUAGCACAGAAAGCAUGAGACCAGUGAUACAAGAAAAACUUUAGACAAGAAUUCAAGUGUCUGUAUUGGUGAAGGCGAAAGUCCUGCUUGACUGAGGCCUCCGUAGCCUGUGACUCCAUCUGAGCAGUGUCCCUUCAGAAGCUGCUUAAACAUUUCCCUGAGCUUAAAGAAUUGCACUGCACUCUGGGUAAGCAUGGUGUCUAUUAUAUGGUAUUGAGAUUAAUUAGAUGAAUCUGCCUUAGAUGAGGGGAUCUCCAGAAAGCAUCCAAACCAGGCUGCACACAGGACAGCUUUUGUGAUAAAGCAGAGUCUUUAGAGAGAUGUAUUUGGACUUCUACAAGUUCUGAUGAGAUCCUCACUCUCCUUCAGAUGUGAGGCUCCAGAAGGAGGACUUUAGGAUCUAGAAGUUUGCAUCCCAGUGUCUCCCGGAGAAUGUUGCUAAUCUGUUUGCUAUGAAUUCUGACUUUAUUAACUUUCUUCUGAAUCUUUAAAAUAAACAAACCCUAUUUAAUUUACCUGAGGAAUGUCUAUGCCUGUCAGUCCUUCAUUCUGAGCUGGCUAUUUACAUUUGUAAAUGUAAAUAUGAAGGCCAUGAAGGAAUAGAAAUAAACUUGAGCUCACCUAAGCGGAAAAGUAGUAUCCUUAAAUUUAAGGACAUAUGCAGAAACACCCAAAACCUGUGUUCCAAUUCUGGGAAAGAUAAUCAGAAUGGUGUAUCUUGGAUUAGGGGAUUUAAGACUCCCAAGUCAAAUAAGUUACAGCCUUGUGACAAUGUAAGGAAUUCAAUUGUAUUAACUGAUGACUUCCCAGUGGAUGGUGUGAGGCAGUGGUCAGUGAAGGGUGAUUGUGGAUUUCUAGUAAUUCGCUAUAAAGAGAGGUAUGUUGGGAACUCUCAAGAGUCUCUCGUGGUUGGGCAUACCAGUGUCCAUCGAUGUCCAAUUUCUUCCCCAUUCAUGGUGCAAGGAAUAUACUUACCUUCUUUAGCUCCCUUGCAGUUAAGUGGGUGCCAUGUGACUUAUUCUGGCCAAUGAAGGAUGAAUGGAAGUGAAAGAUAUCACCUCUGAGCUGAGAUAGUAAAAGGAGCAUAUGUCUUUCCAGUCUUGCUCAUUCCUGCCGAAUCAGCCAAGGAGGAGGCAUAGAAUGGCAGUGGUGUCUCCAACAGUUUAGAAUUUGAGGUUACCCCACAGUGAAGGUGUAUUAGUCCAUUUUCACUCUACUGAUAAAGACAUACCUGAGACUAGGAAGAAAAAGAGGUUUAAUAGACUUAACAGUUCCGCAUGGCUGGGGAGGCCUCACAAUCAUGGUGGAAGGCAAGGAAGACCAAGUCACAUCUUACAUGGAUGGCCUCAGGCAAAGAGAG